UGCUCUUAUUGACUAUAUAAGUCAAAGCUUAUCCAAUCGAGUAAUCACUUUUUCUUUUUCUUCUUUUUCUCCUUCUCUUUGGUGUCCUCAUCUUCCUCUCCUCUCCUCCUCUCCAUUUUUCUUCAUUUCCUACUUACUAAACAUAUAAAUUUCACUCCAUUAAACCUUAAAUAAGUGAUUAACCUUGGAGAAUUAAAGCGUGGGAAGUGAUUUUUGGUAUUAGAAUCCAAGAAAUUUGAGAAUUUCCUACUUAAGUCAAGUGGGAGAACUCUCCACCAAAGACAAAGGGAAAGCUAAGGUUUAAAGCUUAGAGAGCUUUAAUCUAAGCUUGUUAAAACUUGUUUUGAGGUUGAAGACCGUGGUUGCUGCUCGAAGACCAGAAGAGUAGCAUCAGAAUAGAAGAGACUAUUUGGGUAGUAUUAGAAUUAGUCUUAAAUAAUUAAGAAUUAUGGUAUAUAUAAUUAUUAUCUAUAUGGAGAAUAUGUUAUUCGAAUUAUAACUUAAGCAUAUUAUUAUAAAUUAUUUUGGUGUAGAUAUUUGGAAUUAAGCAUGAGACUUAUUUAAUGA